rnacentral:rRNA from 1 species
UGUGAACGCUAGCGGCAGGCCUAAUACAUGCAAGACGAGCGGUAAGUGUGGUAGCAAUACUAUACGAGAGCGUCGUAAGGGUGCGUAACACGUAUGCAAUCUGCCCUCAACAGGAGGAUAGCUCCCCGAAAGGGGAAUUAACACUCCAUAAGAUCGUAGAGUGGCAUCAUUCAGCGAUUAAAACUCUGGUGGUUGUGGAUGAGCAUGCGGAUGAUUAGCUAGUUGGUGAGGUAACGGCUCACCAAGGCGAUGAUCAAUAGGGGAACUGAGAGGUUGAUCCCCCACACUGGCACUGAGAUACGGGCCAGACUCCUACGGGAGGCAGCAGUAGGGAAUAUUGGACAAUGGUUGCAAGACUGAUCCAGCCAUGCCGCGUGCAGGAAGAAGGCUUUCUGAGUUGUAAACUGCUUUUGCCAGGGGAUAAAAAGUCCUGCGGGGAAAAUUAGAAGGUACCUGGUGAAUAAGCCACGGCUAACUACG